rnacentral:siRNA from 1 species
AUAAACAGAGAGUGUCAUUGG